CUGAAGUUGCUCAGCCCCCCAUGAAGCUCUCAGAAAUCCAGCAACCCAUCUGUGAAACGAGGACAGUCAUUCCUCCUCUGCCUUCCCUUUAUUUCACUUGUUUAUUCAGCGGUAAGACAGUCAGGAGCGGGGCUGCCCCUCCUUAUCUUUCACAUACGGCAGCGCCUUGCACAAUGGAGCCUUGAUCUCCACUGGAACUCCUAAGUGUUACUGUGAUACCAGCAAUGAAUGAGAGAACCAUAAGUCAGGAAAGCAACCUAAUUCCGUAGAAUUUCUGCUUGGAAAGAAAUCUGCCAGGCAUGCACACCUAGACCCCAGCAUUAAAACCAUUAAACUUCCAAACAAGCACAGAAACAGGACAAGCAGAUACACAGAACAAACCAGACGCGAGUAGUAUUUCCACUCGUGAAUAAUACUCCAAGCAGAAAGAGCAGGACACUGAUGCUAAGAACAUCCUGUAAGUUCUCAUUUUAAAGAAGCAGUUUAAAUACAAGCAUUUUUUCAAUCUGGUCCUCGGGCUAAUUUUGACCUGGUGGCCCAAGGGUGAUCUUUGUUCACCUUACGAGGCAGCAAAGCAGACAGAGAGCAAAGAGUCCCCAGGAAUGGGGAAAUCUGAGGCUGGGGAGGAGCUGAGCAUGCACUGGGCUCAGCUUUGGUCUGAUAAGUUUAUCAAGCACUGCCGGCUGCUAACUGUCAGCCGGCAAAGUGGGCCUGUUAGGGAGGAGGAACAGCUCCCAGGGCAAGAUAGGACAACCCAUGCCUUAUCGGAGCGCCUGAGCCGAAGAGGGAACUGGAGAGUGAGCACUUUCCAACCACUUCAUCUGAACAACAGACAGAUUGGCAGGAAAGGCCUGUCAGCCCUUUGCUCCUGCCACUCCGAGCAGGAGCAACAAAGAGCCCUGAUCCAUGCAAAGAAGCCUGCUGGCUGCCUGGAUGCAAGUGCUGUCCCAAGCCCCCCAUGCUGUACAAGGUGGGAAACCUCCUGCAGCGGUGAUGUAGUCAUCCAAAGUCACUCCCUUCCUGCAAUCUUAGCUCGGAAGGGAAUGUGACUCAGGCCUUCAACUGAAGGGUUGUCAUCUGCAAACCCUGAAGACUGGAUGUGGCCGUGGUUUUAUCACUUGCCCCCAGCUGCCUCUACAACUCUUGCCUCCUCCCCAAUGAUUCAGCAAAUCUUCUUUGAGGAGAAAAACAAGCAUGUAAGUGAACAAAUCACAAUGUCAGAUUACAAAGAUGAGCGGGGAAAAACUGCGGCUCAAAAGCGGGAGAUAAAGGCUGGUGAAGUCACAUGAUUCAAGGACUGGCAGGCCUUGCAAAGACUUUUUUUGGAGGGGGGUAAUAAAAACAUGAAAAAUAUGGUUGUAAUUUGGAGU
rnacentral:lncRNA from 1 species